UUUGUACUCCCUCCGUUCCAAAAUUCUUGUCUUAAAUUUGUCUAAAUACGGAUGUAUCUAGUUACAUUUUAGUGUUAGAUACAUCCGUAUCUAAACAAAUGUAAGACAAGAAUUUUGGGACGGAGGGAAUUCUAC
rfam:Triticum aestivum genome assembly, contig: Triticum_aestivum_CS42_TGACv1_scaffold_030357_1BL